CUUUUUUUUUUUUUUUUUUUUUUUUUUUUUUUGCAUCUAACUGACUUUUACAAUGCUUAGAGUCUACUUGUUUUGAAAACACAACUGAGAGCUACCAGUGGCUGCAGAUGCCUUUGAUCCUGGCACUCACUGCCACAGGGACAGAGUCCAGGAGACACAAUGAGAAAAUAUCAGACUGGUGACUCUCAACACAAUCAAGUAGGAAUGGAAGACUGACCAUCAGGCACACCUAGAGCUCACUGUAGUUAAAGAUGACCUUGAAACCCUGAUCAUUCUGCUUUCGCCUGGAAUACUACGAUUGUAGUGUACCUUCACCUCCGGGGAUUCCACCAGAAAACUCCCAGAUGCCAAUAACUGAAGAGAAGCACGGAGCCUGUGAAAUGCCUGUGAAGUCAAGUCCAAUGGCUCG
rnacentral:lncRNA from 1 species